CCCUUGUUGCAUCAUAUAUCUUGUGAAGUCAUGAAACUAAAUUUUGAUUUCUUAAAUUUUAUUCUUAUUGACUUUAUAGGUUUUUUAUCUUCAAGUUGAUACUCUUGUGUUUAUCUUAUCUUUUAUCAACUCUCCUUUUUGCACUUUUUGAAUUAAGGAUGUUAGGUCGUAGUAUGUUCUUAAAUUCUAUAAUCUCUACUAUAAUUGAAAUCUUCUCCAGGCAAAUCCCACCUGCAAGAUCAACGACUCACAGCAUAUAUCCUACAGAUUUAACGGCCCAGAUUAGAAGUAUGAUCACAACCUUACACACCCUCAGCAUCAGCCUCCCCAUCAGCCCUGUUCAAACGCGUUGCACACCCUCUCCAUCAGCCCUGUUCUCUCGGUUCGAUUCCCACGUCCCACACCGUUUUUUUCCAUUUUUUCUCCGAUGCCGGCGCUAGAGUUCCUCCGCAGGCACAGAAUGUUAGUCGGCCGUCAUCGAGACGUGUCCCCAGGCGACCGCCCCUACUUCCCUGUCC
rnacentral:lncRNA from 1 species